AGUGAAGCUUCCACGCCUCUCAUUAACCUGCAAAUAUUUCCUGGCUUUUAGUUUUGUGGUGUCAUUCCAAACGAUGACAACCACGAAGUGUUUUUGGCCACGAAACUUUCCAGCUAUAUAGUAUUUACCUUUUGUUAGGUUGAAGAAUGGAAGGAAAUAUCAAAGAUAUGCAAGGAUUGUGGCCACUUUGUUGUAAUUGAUAAUGUUUAUCAAGGCUUUGCCUGUGGUUGUCAUGAGAAAGAUGCUACUGGUAUAAGAAGAUUGGUAGAGGAUGAAAACAAUUUAGCCAUUUGUCAGACUUUCUCCAAAAAUUUUGGACUGUAUGGUGAGAGAGUAGGGACUGCUACUAUUGUAUGCUCAUCUGUUGAUGAGAAAAGGAUUGUUGAGUCACACUUGAAGCUUGUCAUACGUCCAAUGUAUUCCAAUCCACCAAUCAAUAGGGCUAGGAUUGCAACUGAGAUACUUACUAACCCACAGUACAGAAAUC